rnacentral:rRNA from 1 species
UGGGGAAUAUUGCACAAUGGUGGAAACCCUGAUGCAGCGACGCCGCGUGAACGAAGAAGGUAUUCGUAUCGUAAAGUUCUGUCCUAUGGGAAGAUAAUGACAGUACCAUAGAAGAAAGCUCCGGCUAAAUACGUGCCAGCAGCCGCGGUAAUACGUAUGGAGCGAGCGUUGUCCGGAAUUAUUGGGCGUAAAGGGUACGCAGGCGGUUUAAUAAGUCGAAUGUUAAAGAUCGGGGCUCAACCCCGUAAAGCAUUGGAAACUGAUAAACUUGAGUAGUGGAGAGGAAAGUGGAAUUCCUAGUGUAGUGGUGAAAUACGUAGAUAUUAGGGGGAAUACCAGUAGCGGAGGCGACUUUCUGGACACAAACUGACGCUGAGGUACGAAAGCGUGGGGAGCAAACAGGA